GUUAGGAAUAUUGGACAAUGGGCGAAAGCCUGAUCCAGCCAUGCCGCGUGAACGAUGAAGGCCUUCGGGUUGUAAAGUUCUUUAGCCGAUGAUUAUAAUGACUGUAGUCGGAAAAUAAGCCCCGGCUAACUUCGUGCCAGCAGCCGCGGUAAUACGAAGGGGGCGAGCGUUAUUCGGAAUCACUGGGCGUAAAGCGUGCGUAGGCGGUUUUGUAAGUUAGGAGUGAAAGCCCAGGGCUCAACCAUGGAAUUGCUCUUAAAACUGCAAGGCUCGAAUCUCGGAGAGGAUAGCGGAAUUUCCAGUGUAGCAGUGAAAUGCGUAGAUAUUGGAAGGAACACCAGUGGCGUAAGCGGCUAUCUGGACGAGUAUUGACGCUGAGGCACGAAAGCGUGGGGAUCAAACAGGAUUAGAUACCCGGGUAGUCC
rnacentral:rRNA from 1 species